AAAACUAAACAUGGCUUGGUUCUCGGGUGGAUGAAGAACGCAGGCAGCUGCGACACUUGGUGUGUAUUGCAGGGCACAUUGAUCAUGAUAAACAUGCUAAAUGUGUGUUUCUGUGUUAACACAUUGAGCAAUUACACUUUGAACGCACAUUACGGCCUCGGGGUUUCCCGUGGCUUCGUCUGAGUGAGGAACG
rnacentral:rRNA from 1 species